rnacentral:tRNA from 1 species
AGUCCCUCUAUCCCCAAUAA